CUACGGGAGGCAGCAGUGGGGAAUAUUGGACAAUGGGCGGAAGCCUGAUCCAGCCAUCCCGCGUGCUUGAUGAAGGCCCUCUGGGUUGUAAAGAGCUUUAGUCUGGGAAGAAACUUGUUUCUGCGGAAGCAACUGACGGUACCAGAAGAAUAAGCACCGGCUAACUCCGUGCCAGCAGCCGCGGUAAUACGGAGGGUGCAAGCGUUAUCCGGAUUUACUGGGUUUAAAGGGUGCGUAGGCGGCACGAUAAGUCAGGGGUGAAAGCCUACGGCUAAACCGUAGAAAUGCCUUUGAUACUGUAGUGCUUGAAUUAGAUCGAGGUCGGCGGAAUGUGGCAUGUAGCGGUGAAAUGCAUAGAUAUGCCAUAGAACACCAAUUGCGAAGGCAGCUGACUAGGUCUAGAUUGACGCUGAGGCACGAAAGCGUGGGGAGCAAACAGGAUUAGAAACCCGUGUAGUCC
rnacentral:rRNA from 1 species